rnacentral:rRNA from 1 species
CCUACGGGGAGCAGCAGUGGGGAAUAUUGCGCAAUGGGGGAAACCCUGAUGCAGCGACGCCGCGUGAGUGAAGAAGUAUUUCGGGAUGUAAAGCUCUAUCAGUAGGAACGAGACAAGACGGUACCUGACUAAGAAGCCCCGGCUAACUACGUGCCAGCAGCCGCGGUAAUACGUAGGGGGCAAGCGUUAUCCGGAAUCACUGGGUGUAACGGGGGCGUAGGCGGCUGUGCAAGUCUGAAGGGAAAGGCGGGGGUCCAACCCCUGUACUGCUGUGGAAACUGUACGGCUGGAGUGCAGGUGAGGUAAGUGGAAUUCCAGGUGUAGGAGUGAAAUCCGUAGAUAUCUGGAGGAACAUCAGUGGCGAAGGCGACUAUCUGGCACAUAACUGACGCUGAGGAGCGAAAGCGUGGGUAGCAAACAGGAUUAGAUACCCGGGUAGUC